UUUCCGAGACUGGGCCAUUUAAAAACUAGCUUCUGCCUGGCUCUCACUCUUCCCUUUUGGAUCACUCACUCUGGAGAAAGCCAAUCGCCAUGUUGUUGAAGAACUCAAGCAACCUAUGGAGAGGACUUUGUGGGGAGGAACUGAGGUCUCCACAAACAACCAGCCCCAACUUUACAGCCUUGUGAGUGAGUCACCUUGAAAGAGCGUAUUUUUGCCAGUCAAGCCUUCAAAAGACUGCAGCCCCAGCCAAAAUCUUAAUGGCAACCUCAUGAGAGAUCCUGAGUUGAAAUCACCCAGCAAGGUUGCUCUUGAGUGCCAAAGCCACAGAAACUGUAAGGAUUCUUGCUUUCAACGAAAGGAAUUCAGCUCCAGAGAGACAUAAAUCAUGCACAAAGAGAAAGGAAAAUUGCUUCCUAGACCUGAAUAUUUAGUGAUGAACUAAACCUUCCAAGAGGGAAAAAAAAUAUGAUUCUGUUGCGAAGGGAAAAUAAAUGUCCUCCAAAUCAAUGUGAAAAUGGAGAUCCAAGGAAGUGAGACUGCAAUUCAGUCAUCUCCUUACUGAAACGAGAAGCCUGGUAUUCACAUCACUCAACACGGUUGGUUUUGGAGCUUGGUGAAGAUUAAAAACACAGGAAGGCUUGCACAGCAACCUAGAGGGAAUAGAGAGGUCGCUGUUAAUGUGUUUCUUCAUUGAACAGAGCUCAUGCGUGCAUUUGGAAAUAAAGAGAAAGUGACUGUUCAAAGACACUGGGGAAAGUGCUAUCUGGGAUGUUUUACCCUAAGAUUUUAUAGUAAAUUAAGA